AUUGAACGCUGGCGGAAUGCUUUACACAUGCAAGUCGAACGGCAGCACGGACUUCGGUCUGGUGGCGAGUGGCGAACGGGUGAGUAAUAUAUCGGAACAUACCUUGUAGUGGGGGAUAACUAUCCGAAAGGAUAGCUAAUACCGCAUACGCUCUAAGGAGGAAAGUGGGGGAUCGCAAGACCUCAUGCUAUAAGAGUGGCCGAUAUCUGAUUAGCUAGUUGGUGAGGUAAAGGCUCACCAAGGCGACGAUCAGUAGCUGGUCUGAGAGGACGACCAGCCACACUGGAACUGAGACACGGUCCAGACUCCUACGGGAGGCAGCAGUGGGGAAUUUUGGACAAUGGGGGCAACCCUGAUCCAGCAAUGCCGCGUGAGUGAAGAAGGCCUUCGGGUUGUAAAGCUCUUUUGUCAGGGAAGAAACGGUUGUGGCUAAUAUCCAUGGCUAAUGACGGUACCUGAAGAAUAAGCACCGGCUAACUACGUGCCAGCAGCCGCCGCCG
rnacentral:rRNA from 1 species